rnacentral:rRNA from 1 species
UACGGUCAAAUCACGCUGAAACACCGGUUCUCGUUCGAUCACCGAAGUUAAGCAUCGUAGAGCCAGUACUUAGAUGGGGGACCGCUUGGGAACACCUGGUACUGUAA